AAGGCCUUCGGGUUGUAAACUGCUUUUGUCAGGAAAGAAACCUGUAUGGUUAAUACCCAUGCAGCUGACKKUACCUGACGAAUAAGCCACGGCCAACUCCGUGCCAGCAGCCGCGGUAAUACGGAGGUGGCAAGCGUUACUCGGAAUCAUUGGGUGUAAAGGGCAAGUAGGCGGCCUUAUAAGCGAGGGGUGAAAUCUACCGGCUCAAUCGGUAAACUGCCUUUCGAACUGUGAGGCUUGAGGAUGGAAGAGGGAAACGGAAUUUCCGGUGUAAGGGUGAAAUCUGUAGAUAUCGGAAAGAACACCAGCGGCGAAGGCGGUUUCCUGGUCCAUUUCUGACGCUAAAUUGCGAAAGCUAGGGGAGCGAACAGAAUUAGAUACUCUGGUAGUCCUAGCCGUAAACGAUGAGUACUAGGUGUUGGGAUUUCGGUCUCAGUGCCGCAGCUAACGCAUUAAGUACUCCACCUGGGGACUACGGCCGCAAGGCUAAAACUCAAAGGAAUUGACGGGGACCCGCACAAGCGGUGGAACAUGUGGUUUAAUUCGAUGCUACGCGAAGAACCUCACCAGGGCUUGACAUGUAGUGAGUAGGAUAUCCGAAAGGUGACCGAUCCGUCAAGUCCGGAAAGCUACACAGGUGCUGCAUGGCUGUCGUCAGCUCGUGUCGUGAGAUGUUGGGUUAAGUCCCGCAACGAGCGCAACCAUUACCCCAUGUUGCUA
rnacentral:rRNA from 1 species